CUGGGUGGCGUUGUGGCUCAUGCACUCCCUCUCAGGUCAUUAGCAUCUCUGCAUCUUGGCUGCUUGCUGCUGUGGUGGUGGCCCGGACACUCCCUGGGUUGUAUCCAACUCACCCCCCGGAGUCCUGUGAGUCCCCGCUGCUGAGGCUCUAUCUACUGAGGUUCCUACUGGUUGGACGGGCCUGCUCGUGCUGCUUCAUGACUCAGCCUCCGCUCCGGCUGCCGCUACAGCCCCCACAACCCCAUCUGACUCUUGCCCAGAAGGUCCACCACGAGUCUUGUUGCUGACUCACCUCUCCCUCGUGAUCGCUGAUGCCUGGAGGCCUGUUGGCUGUCAGAUCAGCUACUUCCCUGGCCUCUGAUCAGGAGCAGAAUCAUGCUGUGCUGUUGAGUUCAACCCAGAUACAGCCGCUCCCAGGGUGAUGCCAGCCAACCUGCAGGAGGAGCCCCUCCCCGAGGCCCAGAGAAGUCUGCAGAGGCCCUGGCCGGUCCUCCGCCUGCUCAGCACACCUCCCACUGUGGGUGGAAUCCUGAGACGGGAGAUCAGAGUCACCUCUGACGCUCCCCAGCCACCUCUCUCUCCCUUUCUCCUGUGUAUUCCACCAGGACGGACAGGGUGGAUGUUCCUCUUUCCUUUCCUGCCCACGCCAGGACUUCCCCGUGUAAAACGGUGAUCAGGGUGGAUGUUCCAUAGAGGCCUGCAGGGCGGGACCACAGCCCUGUGGGUAGACCGCAUCUGUCCAGUGAAUGGCCAGAAGAAGAUGUAGGUCUGCAGACAGGAAACCAGAACUCUGAAGACAAAUCUCAACAAACAGGUGAAAGGGCUCUUUCCCAUCCUCCAGGUCCCUGACUCACAGGGGCCUCCGGACUAGUAAGGGCUUCCCAGGUGUGGGCUCAUUUUCUCCCCCGAGGAGUUAGGCCCUGGGCCUGCAAAGGGAGACUUCGCUGCAGGAUUGUGCUUCCCCAACCCUACAAUUUGGAAGAUGGGUGUAAUGAAAUGUUGUCAAUGGGAGGACUGGCAUUGUCAAGCAAGUAUCUUUAAACCACUAUUUUUACCAUCAAGGUUUGUUAUUAUUUUUUAAUAAACAAAGGACUUUGAACACCUAAAAAGUUGGUGGUUUUAUUUUAAGGAAGACAUCAUUUAUUGAUAAGACAGAAAGCCAUUUCAGAUGCCUGAAUAGCAUGGAUCAAAGGCAUAGGAGAGAGGCAGGGAAGGGAGGGAGGCAUAUCUUUUCCAGGGGUGUAGCUAUACUUCUUUGCCUCCAGGAUUUGUGCAGGGGCCAAUGGGAGGCGGGACCGAAAGGAGCUUAGAGCAUGUCUCAGAGAUCCUUGAGUAAUCGGGUGAGAAACUAAAAUGUCAGCUCUGACACCGUCAGAGGAUCUGACUGGUCCAUGAGAAGGAAACUGACUCGAAGAAAACCAGGCCUGGGAAAUUUAAGUUGUAGAUUAUUGCAGCCUCUGGUGGAGUUACUGCAUUUUGAGGGCAAGAGGCUAGAGGGAGGAAAGUCAUUUAGGAGGGAAAAUUUGGAACCCAUGCUAGACUUUGGCUGAAGUGUAAGGUUUGAUGAGUAAUGACUGGGACACUUUUUCUGUACCUGUUGGUUAUUGUAUCUAUAGGUGAUCAUGGUGGGGCUAGGAGUUGAAUUUAUUUUAUUUUUUAUUUUUGGCACUGUUACAGG